AAGUUUUGUUAAACUUCUUUGAUACAGAUGCAGCAUCUCUUACCGACUUUCAGUUCCAGUUCAUCAGGUUCCUCAGACGACUUGUCUUGGUGAGUUCAACCCAUCCUCCUUCACAUCCCUUCACUUCAGACGAGGCCUCACAGCCUGUUGAUCAGACAAAGAGAAAAGUUCUCAUCAUGUCAGACACUGAAACAAUCCCAGAACAGUCUGAAUAAGAACCGUAUCAACAAAACAUCCACUGUCUCAUCAUGCUGUGUAACAGAGCAACUCUGCAGCCUGCCACGGUGUAUUUAUUGGUUCUACCACCAGGAGUAGCCAAAGUCAGGUUUUCCCAGUGGCUUCAUGAUUCAAGAUAAGAAUUGAAAUAAGUUUGACUUUGUAUUUCAUCCUUGACAAAUAUUAGGAAUUUUUAUUUUUCAUUUUUUAAAAUGGCAAAAAUGUAUGUGUUAGUGCCUGUUCACCAGAGGAGUUUUAUGCACUCAUUAUCUUUUCUUUAACUACUGUGUUAUAAAUGAUUAAUACUGAGAGUAAAACAGGUGUCUUUCUAACCCUACCAG